GGGACGAGGGGCACAGGGACUAGGGGCACUGGGACGAGGAGCCUGGGGACGAGGGGGAUGGGAGCAAGGCGAGUGCGGAUCUUUUACGUCUUCACAGGUGGCCUUAACGCCUGCCAUUCUCCACAGAGGGUAGAGUUGCAGGAGCUUCCACUUUGAUUUUCCCACUACAAGACUCACUCUGUUGAUCAAGGAACCAGUUGAGGUUUUGCCCAGUUGCCAGCUUCAAAUACAUACUUCAUCGCCUGCUUGGUGAAAAUGGAGCUGGGCCCUAAAUUGUUUCUCCUUUAAAGCAGGAGUGAUUGCCCAUUGACUGUGGACCAGCUCUGGCUACGGGAAAACCAGAGAACCUCUCCAUCAUCCAUACUGCACCAAACAGCAUCUCUGCAACCACACCUUUUCCAAGAUUUGAGCCCCAGCCUUGGGGAGGAGGCCAUCUUUCACAUUUUCUCCUUCCUUGGGAACUCUCUGUCAGCCCAGAGUAUUCUUUUGCAUUAUCUUUAGCCCUGUACAGAUAAUUCCAUUAUAGUAAAUAAUCCUUUAUAUUAAACGUUC
rnacentral:lncRNA from 10 species